rnacentral:rRNA from 1 species
CUUGUUAGUGGGGGAUAACGUUUCGGGAAACCGGACGUUAAUACCGCAUAACNUCNUACGGGAGAAAGCAGGGGACCUUCGGGCCCUUGCGNUAUCAGAUGAGCCUAGGUCGGAUUAGCUAGUUGGUGGGGUAAUGGCUCACCAAGGCGACGAUCCGUAACUGGUCUGAGAGGAUGAUCAGUCACACUGGAACUGAGACACGGUCCAGACUCCUACGGGAGGCAGCAGUGGGGAAUAUUGGACAAUGGGCGAAAGCCUGAUCCAGCCAUGCCGCGUGUGUGAAGAAGGUCUUCGGAUUGUAAAGCACUUUAAGUUGGGAGGAAGGGUUGUAGAUUAAUACUCUGCAAUUUUGACGUUACCGACAG